rnacentral:rRNA from 1 species
UGCAACUCGACUACAUGAAGCUGGAAUCGCUAGUAAUCGCGGAUCAGAAUGCCGCGGUGAAUACGUUCCCGGGUCUUGUACACACCGCCCGUCACACCAUGGGAGUCGGAAAUGCCCGAAGUCUGUGACCGAACCGAAAGGAAGGAGCAGCCGAAGGCAGGUCGGAUGACUGGGGUGAAGUCGUAACAAGGUAUC